GACGAACGCUGGCGGCGUGCUUAACACAUGCAAGUCGAACGGUGAAGCGUCUUCCUUUUUGGUGGGUGUGGAUGAGUGGCGAACGGGUGAGUAACACGUGAGUAACCUGCCCCCUUCUUCUGGAUAACCGCAUGAAAGUGUGGCUAAUACGGGAUAUUCUGGGUCUGUCGCAUGAUGGGUCUGGGAAAGAUAUUGUUUCGGUGGGGGAUGGGCUCGCGGCCUAUCAGCUUGUUGGUGGGGUGAUGGCCUACCAAGGCGGUGACGGGUAGCCGGCCUGAGAGGGUGGACGGUCACACUGGGACUGAGACACGGCCCAGACUCCUACGGGAGGCAGCAGUGGGGAAUAUUGCACAAUGGGCGCAAGCCUGAUGCAGCGACGCCGCGUGAGGGAUGGAGGCCUUCGGGUUGUGAACCUCUUUCGCCAGUGAAGCAGGCCUGCCUCGUUUGUGGGUGGGUUGACGGUAGCUGGAGAAGAAGCGCCGGCUAACUACGUG
rnacentral:rRNA from 1 species